ACAUAUUUUGCUUAAUUGUCCAGAGAUUCAAUCAUAUGUCAACUUGUUCGUAAACACAUGGGGUAAUGAAGCCAUCUAUACAGAAUUUUCCAAAUGGCUGAGGAACUAUGUUUACGAUGAAUACUCAAGUGUCCA